rnacentral:rRNA from 1 species
AACGAACGCUGGCGGCAUGCCUAACACAUGCAAGUCGAACGAGGACUUCGGGUCUAGCGGCGGACGGGUGCGUAACGCGUGGGAAUGUGCCCUUCUCUACGGAAUAACUCUGGGAAACUGGUAGUAAUACCGUAUACGCUCUAUUGGGGAAAGAUUUAUCGGCGAAGGAUCAGCCCGCGUUGGAUUAGGUAGUUGGUGGGGUAAUGGCCUACCAAGCCGACGAUCCAUAGCUGGUCUGAGAGGAUGAUCAGCCACACUGGGACUGAGACACGGCCCAGACUCCUACGGGAGGCAGCAGUGGGGAAUCUUAGACAAUGGGGGCAAGCCUGAUCUAGCCAUGCCGCGUGAGUGAUGAAGGCCUUAGGGUUGUAAAGCUCUUUUAGCUGGGAAGAUAAUGACGGUACCAGGAGAAGAAGCCCCGGCUAACUCCGUG